UAAAAACCGAUGAUGGAGCAUAGUAAUUAAGCCGAAAAUCAUGGACAGAGAGGGAUUGCCUUGGGCUGGAAGCAAUUCUGCAUGAAGGAUUAAUGAAUGAACACUCCGUAGGUUUCUCCUUGAACCAACAGUAGGGGAGAACGUUGCAGGCGUUAACUGUAAAAGAGGAAGCCUCGUUUUUCAGGCUUCAAUUAGGGUGGCACCACGGGAAACAAAACUCUCGUCCCUUGU
rnacentral:ncRNA from 2 species